rnacentral:rRNA from 1 species
ACGCUCGACACCUACGGGAGGCNGCAGUGGGGAAUAUUGCACAAUGGGGGAAACCCUGAUGCAGCGACGCCGCGUGAGCGAAGAAGUAUUUCGGUAUGUAAAGCUCUAUCAGCAGGGAAGAAACUGACGGUACCUGACUAAGAAGCACCGGCUAAAUACGUGCAAGCAGCCGCGGUAAUCUGAGCGGGCUGGCAAGGC